rnacentral:rRNA from 1 species
AAGGGGAGCAAUCCCUGAGUAAAGUGGCGACCGGGUGAGUAACACGUGACUAACCUACCUUCGAGUGGGGGAUAACUCCGGGAAACCGGGGCUAAUACCGCAUAACAUCUUCGGAUCGGAAGAACUGGGGAUCAAAGGAGCAAUUCGCUUGAAGAGGGAGUCGCGGCUGAUUAGCUUGUUGGCGGGGUAAUGGCCCACCAAGGCGAUGAUCGGUAUCCGGCCUGAGAGGGCGCACGGACACACUGGAACUGAAACACGGUCCAGACUCCUACGGGAGGCAGCAGUGGGAAUUUUGCGCAAUGGGGGAAACCCUGACGCAGCAACGCCGCGUGGAGGAUGAAGUCCCUUGGG